CAAUACCUACACAGAAGCGGGAAAAAAGGCAAGAGAGGAAAUGGGAGUGUUGAAAUUGGACCUUCAAUUAGCAAUAUGUGCGAAGAAGUUUGGCUCACAUUAAAAAUAAAUUUAAGCACUCCUUUCCAUUAAAUUACGGGUAUGUUAAGGUAUACAGGUGAUGAUGUUUCUAAUGGCUAGUAUAGUUUCUGGCAUAUAGAUAUGAAGUUGCAGAGGAGAGUCAAAGUCAGCCUUGAAAUUAAUAUAUGGUAUUUUGUGGCCAAAAAGCCACUUAUCAACUUGUCAAACAAGUCUAAGAAGCUUCCUGCAAAAUAUAAUCAAUUUAAAACAGUAAUCCACUCUGCAGGUAAAUGAUUUACCAACUUAAUUAAAAAGUUAAAUAGCGUUUUAUAUUGUUAAACUAAAAGCAACUUUGGCAUUUUGCACUGCCUAGCUGUUGCCUUUUUUUAAACUUAAACAUGACAUAGAACAGAGUAAGCAGGUAGCAUGCAAAGGACUGGUGAUAAAGUAGUGUUCCAAAGUAACACUCCUAGCUGGAUCAAUCACUUUAGUUCAUAUAUUUUCAUAUGACCCUAAUUGGCUUAGGGCAAUACCUCGCACGAAUGAUGCAUCACCUUGGAUGAUGCGUCAUACAAAAUUGAAAGUAUCUCAUGAUGUGAUCAAACGAUAGCAUUGCCCACUGUAUUGGAAGUGUUAACACGCUGUUUGCGCGGGAAAGUGCAAAGUGAUUCGUAUAGAUAGCAAAUUCAUGAGUGCAUCUAUAGCCUCAAAUAAUCCUGAGCAUCUACGUUGACUCGCAAUUGAGAAGCCACUGCACAUAAAAAGGUGUAUUCAAGUAAUGGUCCAUGCUAAAUAAUUGCCCACCUAGUGAAAAGUCAAAUGUGGCAGGCUAAUGGGCUUGGGCAAAUAAACUGCCAAAUUCUGAUAACACCUCCAAUGAUAUUAUUGAAAUAGGUGAAAAACAUCACUGGUAAAAUUAUAGUUAUGACAAAAUUUGAAGAGCACCUCUGGAAACUGCUGGAACCCUCAGCAUCAUGCCUGUUCUACAUGCACAUAUGUUGCAGCACAAUCUCUAUCUCAGACGCAGGCGCCUCCACACAUCACCACGGUUGUCUGCUUUUCGUUUGUGACGCGUCUUUGCGGGAGACGUGUCUCUUUUGCUGUUCUUGUGGCUUGUUUGAACGGGCGUCCCAACGUGGCCGACACCCGAAGCGCCAGCAGAAAGCGGGCCGCAAGCAAACAACGCAACGAGAGCGCAACGAGGAGUCACGCGCCGAACCAGUCCAAGGCCAACACCGGAUCGCGGGAGCAGCAACCCCCGCCGCUGCUGACGCAGCAACAUGACACGCAGCUGGCGUCGAAGCGGAAGCAAGCCCCCCAGGUGCCGGGAGGCGCCAACCACUCAAUGUCGAGCCACAGGUCGCCGCAGCAGCGGCCACGGCCAAUGGAGCAAGAACAGGACGAACGGGGGGAGCCACCCUGGCAAAAUGGUGCUUUGUGGUGCAAGGGCCCCAGGAUUCGUCACAGUCUGCCGACACACGUGGCGACUACAGGAAAAAGGCAGCUCUGGAAUUUAGCGGCACCGGCUGGGGUCGGGCGUGACCAGCUGACUAUGGGGACGCCAGACAAUGGAUACCACGACGACUGCGCUGCAAAGGUCGUCUGCCCUCGAGAGAGCACUGAAACCUGUGCGGCACGUGUGUGUGAGCCCUCCUCCAAAAAGGCGUGUAGUCUGCGAUGACGUCGAACGAUGACGUCGAACGGAGUGCUUAUAAGCAGCGAUUGUCGGCUGCUAGAGUGUGCUCGUCGUCGUGCUCUGUGCUCGUCAAUGUACCCAUGAGCUGUGUGCUCAUUUGCUGUAUGCUUCGUCUUGCGGGCUCCAUUUGGGUGUCACGCUAGACUGUGUAAAUGUAUCCCACGUUUCAAAUGUAAAUAAAUCCUGCUCGCCUACUG